rnacentral:rRNA from 1 species
CACGCCGUAAACGAUGUCAACUAGCCGUUGGAAGCCUUGAGCUUUUAGUGGCGCAGCUAACGCAUUAAGUUGACCGCCUGGGGAGUACGGCCGCAAGGUUAAAACUCAAAUGAAUUGACGGGGGCCCGCACAAGCGGUGGAGCAUGUGGUUUAAUUCGAAGCAACGCGAAGAACCUUACCAGGCCUUGACAUCCAAUGAACUUUCCAGAGAUGGAUUGGUGCCUUCGGGAACAUUGAGACAGGUGCUGCAUGGCUGUCGUCAGGUUGUGUCAAGUGAUUGUGGCUUACGAUGAGGGA